UUGGAUCUGUUAGGAAAGGACAGAGACUCCUUUUUGCAUCACUCUAUUUGAACGUAAUGUAUAUGUCACAAGUGACACUCUUACUAAACUAGACCCUGCCAUUCUCUUUAUAUUACGUAUCAGCAUGUCUUAUUUGAUAUCAUUCCUAUUUAUGAGUGCCAUUUAAUCUUGUGUGCUGUGUAUUUACAACGAUUGCCUUUCACUUAAUUCCUUACAUUUUCACGUGUGAAUCAAAUUGAUUCGCAUGGACGAUUUUGCUUGCUUGUAUGGUGUGCUGUGAUUCCAAAAAUGAACACAGACUAAACUGACAUGCUGUGAUUCCAAAAAUGAACACAGACUAAACUGACAUUGAGAUGAUUCUCUAUCACCUUCUCCCUCCCUAAACAAAUUGCUAAACACGCCCCAGAACUAGAGUUAAAAAGGAACUGAACCAGGGACAUCUCGACCGACUUGCUUCUCGUUUCCGCUGGUCGCCUGCUGUGGGAAGGACACAAAUCACAAAGCUCUUUAUAAACACUACUAAAGGAAAGUGCUUGUUUCGAACGUGUGUGUGACCCCAAUUGUUGGCCAGUACAUGCUCUAAUUGUAUGUUUUCUGUCCCCCACAACUACAGACACGGGGGACACGCUUGACGCCGCUGAGAGGCUACACCCAACUCUAAUACACAGCCAGGCCGGUGCAGAGUGAGGGACAGAAGGCGACCUACCGCUGAACACCAAACCAGCAAUUGACUACCAGACCAGCCAUCAACUAACGAUCCCUGCUCAGGAGGAAGAGCCGAACCCUGUUCGGGGAGAGCCGAUCUAAUCCUGCUCGGGGAAAACCGAACGAACAAACCCUGCUCGGAAGGACCAGAAUGAACAUUGGCCACCAAUCGGGAGUCAACCGCUGUAUGAACUUUGACCUGCCCACGAGAGCAGCUCAGUCCCCGUGAGUGACCUCGUACAGGGUGAGGGUUUAGGUAACACUGAGACACAGAACCAGAUGGAGGAGUCUGACAGCUCAGCUGAACUGAGUCUCUCUCUGAUGACUGUAGAACUGACUGUCAGCCUGGGAGGAGGACAUAUGCUCAUUUUGGAACGUUGCUAAAUGGGCACAGCCAAACAACGGAAGUGAUGGAUUUCUUUCUGACCAGAACUGUCCCAGAGCUUGGGGAGGUGUGUCUGCGCUUGUGCUGCAGCGGCAGGUGCACAAGACAAAACUUUACCAGCAUCACACAUAUCGGUGAAUCACUGUGACAUAUGAAAUACAAGUGAUAGUGUAAUCAAUCUGUAAUAACUAUGUAAAAAAGUAACGAAUGUGUUAAAUGAUGUGACGUACAGUCAUAUCCAGGUCCUGAUUGGUCAACAAGCUGAUUUGACCUUUCAAAUAUUGUUAUUUGAUGCAUCAAACAGUGUUAUUUCACAUGUAUCUUUUUUGAAAUGCAAAGACCAAAAUUACGUUCCAUACUUUCCAGUGAACGACACACUGAUGCACGUACAGAUGCGCGUGCCUCUUGGCUUCAGUAAGAAAGCCACUCCAUCUGCGCCCAUUCAACAUAGCCUAGAUUUACGUUUUUAUUAGUUCUAAACAAAAUAACUUUUGGGGGGCUCUCCUAACGCUUGUGUUGAUUCUUGCUUGAACAGUCACUAAAAUUAUAUUCUGUUGUGAUAUUUGUAAAAUAACUAUUUUGGAUGCAGCAAGUUGUUAGCUAGAAUGCUAAACACUCACUGACAUAGCCAUAGCAAAAGAUAGCCAAAGAGACAUUUUACUGGUUGAAGUAUGUUAUUUUUAAGUAUAAUGCAGUUGAAUCACGAUGAUGACACAAACAUUAUAUUAAGCAGGUCAUUCAUACGAGCCUUAAACUCCAAUUUUAAUCCAAAAGUAGUGUGAGAUGCACUCUUAUGCAAC